rnacentral:tRNA from 1 species
AACUAUUUAGCUUAGUGUUAAGCAGUUACCUUGAAAGCAAAGAACAAGAGUUUAAUUCUCUUAAUAGUUU